rnacentral:tRNA from 3 species
UGCCCCGUAGCUCAACUGGCAGAGCAGCUCCCUGUUAAGGAGUCGGUUGCAGGUUCGACUCCUGCCGGGGUAG